AGUUGCCUUUUAAUUGGGGGCUAGAAUGAAUGGUUGGACAAAAUACAAGCUGUCUUUUUUAUAAAAUAUGAAUUUUACUUUUAAGUGAAAAGGCUUAAAUAAUUUAAAGGGACGAUAAGACCCUUUAAAGCUUAAUGAGAUUAAUUUAAUUUAUAAUGUGUAGUAUCAAAGGUAUUAUUUUAUUUCUUGUUUCAUUGGGGCGAUGAAGAUAGAAUUUGUAACUGUCAUAGGUGUAAGAUAAUUAUAAUUAGAGAUUAAGAUCCUUGAAUUUAAAGAUUAAGAGACAAAGUUACUUAAGGGAUAACAGCGUAAUUUUUUUAGAGAGUUCUCAUUGAAGAAAGUAGUUGCGACCUCGAUGUUGAAUUAAGAUUAAGUUAAGAUGCAGCUUUUUUGAUAAUAAGUCUGUUCGACUUUUAAAAUCUUA
rnacentral:rRNA from 1 species